UACAUGGGGUGCAAACGUUGCUCGGAAUUAUUGGGCGUAAAGCGCACGUAGGCGGUCCGUUAAGUCAGAUGUGAAAGCCCCCGGCUCAACCGGGGAAGUGCAUCUGAAACUGGCGGGCUAGAGUACGAAAGAGGGUCGCGGAAUUCCCGGUGUAGAGGUGAAAUUCGUAGAUAUCGGGAAGAACGCCAAGGGCGAAGGCACUCUGCUAGGCCUGAUUUCGCGACUGACACUCAGGGACGAGAGCCAGGGGAGCGAAUGGG
rnacentral:rRNA from 1 species